rnacentral:rRNA from 1 species
GUCUACGGCCAUGCCACCCUGAACAAGCCCGAUGUCUGAUUUGGAAGCUAAGCAGGGUCAGGCCUGGUUAGUACUUGAAUGGGAGACCACCUAGGAAGACCAGGUGCUGUAGGCA